GCAUUGGUGGUUCAGUGGUAGAAUUCUCGCCUGCCACGCGGGAGACCAGGGUCCGAUUCCCGGCCAAUGCA
rfam:Danio rerio chromosome 4, GRCz11 reference primary assembly.